GAUGAACGCUGGCGGCGUGCCUAAUACAUGCAAGUCGAGCGAACGGACGAGAAGCUUGCUUCUCUGAUGUUAGCGGCGGACGGGUGAGUAACACGUGGAUAACCUACCUAUAAGACUGGGAUAACUUCGGGAAACCGGAGCUAAUACCGGAUAAUAUUUUGAACCGCAUGGUUCAAAAGUGAAAGACGGUCUUGCUGUCACUUAUAGAUGGAUCCGCGCUGCAUUAGCUAGUUGGUAAGGUAACGGCUUACCAAGGCAACGAUGCUUAGCCGACCUGAGAGGGUGAUCGGCCACACUGGAACUGAGACACGGUCCAGAAUCCUACGGGAGGCAGCAGUAGGGAAUCUGCCGCAAUGGGCGAAAGCCUGACGGAGCAACGCCGCGUGAGUGAUGAAGGUCUUCGGAUCGUAAAACGCUGUUAUUAGGGAAGAACAUAUGUGUAAGUAACUGUGCACAUCUUGGCGGUACCGAAGCAGAAAGCCACGGCUAACUACGU
rnacentral:rRNA from 1 species